AUGGCGUUGAGGAACAUUACGAUGAGAGUCUUAUUGCUCCUGGCGGUGGUGAGCGCGGCAUAUGCCGCCAAAGGCAAGGCGGAAAAGAAGGAGAGCGCAGAUGGUCCGGCGGCGUCCGGUCCGGCGGCGUCCGGUGAGGGCGGGGAGUACGACAUCACCAAGCUCGGCGCCAAGCCCGACGGCACAACGGACUGCACCGAGGCGGUGGAGGAGGCAUGGGCCUCGGCAUGCGGUAGCACCGGGAACCCGACCAUCAUCAUCCCCAAGGGUGAUUUCCUGACUGGAGCUCUGAAUUUCACGGGGCCGUGCAAGGGCGACGGACUCAACAUCAAGCUGGAAGGCAACCUGCUAGCUUCCAACGACCUGGCCAAGUUCAAGUCUAACUGGAUCGAGAUCAUGCGCGUGAAGAAGCUCUCCAUCACCGGCAAAGGCAACAUCGACGGUCAGGGCAAGGCCGUCUGGACCAAAAACAGCUGCCAAAAGAACUACAACUGCAAGAUAUUGCCAAACUCGUUGGUGCUGGACUUCUGCGACGACGCACUCAUCGAAGGCAUCUCUAUCAUCAAUUCCAAGUUCUUCCACAUGAACAUCUUCCAGUGCAAGGGCGUGACCGUCAAGGACGUGAAGGUGAACGCGCCCGGGGACAGCCCCAACACCGACGGCAUCCACAUGGGCGACUCGUCCAAUGUCAGCAUCAUCGACACCACCAUCGGCGUUGGCGACGACUGCAUCUCCAUUGGCCCCGGUUCCACACAAGUCAACAUCAGCGGCGUGACCUGCGGCCCAGGCCAUGGUAUCAGCAUUGGCAGCCUCGGGAGGUACAAGGACGAGAAGGACGUGACCGACAUCAGCGUCAAGAACUGCGUGCUCAAGGGCUCCACCAAUGGCCUCCGCAUCAAGUCGUACGAGGACGCCAAGUCGCCCCUCGUAGCAUCCAAGAUCCACUACGAGAACAUCGAGAUGGACGACUCGGGCUACCCCAUCAUCAUCGACCAGAAGUACUGCCCCAACAAACUUUGCACCUCUAAGGGCGACGCCGACAGGGUCACCGUCAAGGACGUUACCUUCAAAAACAUCACCGGCACCUCCGCCACCCCCGAGGCCGUCAGCCUGCUCUGCUCCGAAAAGAAGCCCUGCGAAGGCGUCACAAUGUCCGACGUCAAGAUCGAGUACUCCGGCAAGAACAACAAGACCAUGGCUGUCUGCACCCACGUCAAGGUCACCGCCACGGGAGUCGACAAGGCCAACACAUGCGACGCCUGA
rnacentral:rRNA from 1 species